AGCCAGUUAGCUCAGUUGGUGAAAGCGUGGUGCUGAUAACCCCAAGGUCACGGGUUCGAUUCCCAUAUGGGCCA